UGAAAUACAGAAAAUGCACACUUUGCUUCCUCAGAGUGACUUGACAUAUAAUAAAUAUGAAAGAAUAAGCAAUAAUUCCAAACCCCUGUGUUAAAGUGAAACCAGUACAAAAAUACAGACAGAUGAAGUUGUAGCCUAAUAAUUGUCUUUAUAUGGCAUGGGAUGUAUUGUGAGUUGCUCCUUACAUAAUGUAACAUAUUUUAAAUGAAAAAAACAAACUCUGGUAGUACCUUUCUACAUUUUUGACUGUUUUCAUGUGGAGGCACAUUAUGAGUAAUAACUCCAUGUUCUAUAGUCAGUAUUUUGUUCCUUAUAAGUAUGCACUUUAUAUUUUACCCACAAUAGUCUAAUAGGCCCUUUGUAUUUACACAUAUUCAUUAAGGGCUUUUAAUCUUUUUUUUUUUUAACAAAUCACUUGAAACAUCUAGCAUUGCUUUUUUAAAAUGUAUUUAUUUAUUUUUUUUUUUUUGUGCCCGAACAUGGAUGAGGACAUAUUUACUACUUUUUAAAUUAUGUUUAUUAUAAUUUGAAGGUUUCCUCUGUUACCUGCUCGAUGCUAUAGUCUUCAAUGUUCACCAGCUGGUUUCCAUUUCUAGUCACAGCCCAGAUAUCCGCCUUGAACAGAACAUCCUGAACUGAGAAGAUGCCCAGGUUCUGAAUCUGCACAAGAAGUAAAAAGUAAGCUGAUAACUAAUUAUUAGUCAACCCAGUGCUAUCUAACACAUCUGUGCAGUCAUAUUGUUAUAAUUCAAAUAAUUAUUGUUUCUAACAUUCCCCAUAAUUCUGGUCAGUGGGUUUUGAGGUAACCCUCAACAGAAUAAUAUACAAUGCCUGUAAAUAGCAUUCACCCCUCUUGGACACUUCUCCCUUUUAUUCCUUUUCAACAUUGAAUUGUGGUCAGUAUAUUUUGGCUUUUUUGACAAAAAUUUACAAAUAAAAGACCAUUUUAUCAUCAUCAUCAUAUCAAAGUCAAAACAGAUUUUUUCAAAGUAGUGCAAAUUAUUACACAAGUAUUCACCCCCUAUAAAGUGACUCACCUAAUAUAACACAGGUGCAGGCAAACAGUGUUAGAAGUCACACAAUUAGUGAAAUUGAGAUUAUGAGAGCAGGAUUGUGUCCCUAAUUUUGCAAUAUAAAGACACCUGUAUCUGGAAGGUGCAAUCCCUAGUGAAUCAGUAUUCCUCAUUAUAAGUACACCAUGAAGACAAAAGAACACUUAAAGCAACUCAGUGAAAAGGUUGUUUAGAAGCUUAUGUAAUUAAAUUUCCAAGCCACCUAAUAUCCAUCGGAGUGCAGCAAAAUCUGUAAUUAAGAAAUGGAAGGAGUAUGGCACAUGCAUAAAUCUGCCAAUAACAGUCCAUCUUCAACAUCUAUCUGUACACAUCUUUCUUAACGUUAAGCAUGGUGGUGGCAGCAUCAUGACAUGUGGAAACUACCUGGCAGCAAGUCAUGGAAGGCUUGUAAAUGCAGCGGGUAAAAUGAAUGUAGCAAGGUGUUGGGAAAUGCUAUAGGACAAGCUAAAAGUCUGCAAGAGAACUACAGUUUGGGAGAUUUUUUUUCCUGCAAGAAAAUGACUCAAAGCAUACAGCUUAACAUAUACAGAAAUUAUUUAAGACACUAAGGGGCCAAGUCAAAGCCCAGAAGAAAGGUAAAAUUGCUGUGUCCAAAUGUGCCAGACUGAUUGAAACCCAUCCACACAGGCUCAAUGAAUCGACUAAAUACUGAUCUCAGGGGGACAAAUGCUUAUUUUAAUCUCCUUUCUUUUACAUUUCUAUAUUUAUUUAAUUGCCUUUUUCGCCCAGUGGGCCCACCACCCGCAGGGCCAAAAAUUGGAGUCAGAUCCUAUGUACACUGGGCAGUAGGCAAGCUGGCAUCUUGGCGGACCACCACCUGGUGGCGUAGACUGGUUGUGGGGAUGUGGAAUGUCACCUCACUAGUGGGGAAGGAACUUGACCUGGUGGGGGAGGUAGAGUAGUACCAACUAAAUAUAGCUGGGCUCACAUACACGGACAGCAAAGGUUCUGGAACAAAACUCCUGGAGAGGGGUUGGACUCUCCUUUUCUGAGGUGGCCCUCACGGACUGGGGACGUUGUCAGGCAGUGGAAAGAACACUUCGAGGAAUUCUUUAACCCAGCUAGUACAUCCUUUGCUGAGGAGGCAGAGGCUCAAGACUCAUGGGAAUCUUCGCCCAUAUCUGUAGUCGAGGUUGCAGAGGUAGAAGCUCCCAGUGCCAGGUGUGGAUGAGAUCCGCCUUGAGAUGCUAAAGGCUCUGGACAUUGUUGAACUGUCUUGGCUGACACACCUCUUCAGUGUCGCAUGGGCAUCCGGUAUGGUGCCUGUGGAGUGGUGGACUGGGGUGAUGGCUCCCAUUUUUAAAAAGGGGGGGCAGGAGAGUUAUCGGUAUCACACUUCUCAGCCUCCCUUGGAGAGUUUACUCUAGGGUGCUGGAAGGGCGGUUAUGAUUGAUUAUCGAACCGAUUGUCAGUGGCGUGCACAGAUAGACACCAGGUGGUGCUAGAGCACCUGCCACUUGCUCUCAGUAUCAAGCAGGUGCUCUCCGUGUGUCAAGUUUUUUUUUUUUUUUUUUAAAUUUAAACAUUAAACACACACGCCCCGUCUCGCAACAUGAAUACGAGGAGCGGACACAUGCGUGGCAGCAGCUGCACAGCCCAUAUAGACUGUAGCCACCAACCAGGUAACACGUAAAUGAAUCGAGCGUAUUGUUCAUAGGCCUCAGUUGCAACACGGUGCAUUUAUUUGUCUCUGCUGUGAAGUAGCCUGUCUUAUGCAGUGCUAAACAACCGUGUCCAAAUUAGCCAACUGCCCGCCUGCUUAACAAGCUUGAUGCUACCCAUAAUAAUAAUCAAUUAAUCGACACAAUGUGACGACAAUGACCACACAACCAAUGUUAUUUGGUGAACUGGUACAGCAUAGGAUCAGUAUACUAUAACUGAAUAUUAAGUUUGUGUAGGUUUAUUAUUAGCCUACAUUAGGUAGAUGCAACACUUGCUGUGACAUUUGCUAAAUGACAAAAAGAAAAAGUAACUUUCUGCCUUGUAGCCUCAUGUCAGGAAUCAGUCUUGAUAUUGUCAAUCGCUUUUAAAUAUAACAAUAUUAAUAAUGUUAUUUAAUUAAUAUCUCUUUUAAUAUAAUCCAUAUAACAUUGGCUGCCUUAAUAUAACAGUUUGAGUCACACUGUUAUAUUAAGGCAGCAAGUGGUUCUACACAAGGUGCCCUUUUUUUUCCACUGAGCCCCUGCCCUCCAAAAUGUCUGUGCACGAUACUGCCGAUUGUCAUAGCAGUUCGACCAGCCAGUCCACAUGUGUUAUGUGGAUUUUGAAAAGGUCUACAACGGUGUCCCCCAAGGGACUCUGUGGGGAGUAUUGGGUUUACUGAUACAAGCCAGUCCGUCGCUAUACAACUAAAAUGAGAGCUGUGUUUGCAUUCUUGGCAAACACAUUUCUGGUGGGUGUUGGACUUUGUCAGGACUGCCUCUUGUCUCCAAUCUUGUUUGUGGUUAUGACGCUAACCCGUGGUGACGAGGGGAGGAGCUGAGCCGGAAUGCGAAGCUCUUGAUUUACAAGUCAAUCUAGAUUCCUACCCUUAUCUAUGGUCAUGAGCUCGGGGUAGUGGCAGAAAGAAAGAGAUCGUGGGUACAAGUGGUCAAAAUGAGCUUGCUCUGUGGAGUGGCUGGGCUCAGCCUCAGAGAAAGGAUGAGAAGAUCGGACAUCUGGAGGGAGCUUGGAGUAGAGUCCCUGCUCCUUUGCAUCGAAAGGAGCCAAUUGAGAUGGUUUGGACAUCUGAUUCGGAUGACUCUGAGUAGACUUCCUUUGGAGGUUUUCCAAGAACGUCCAUCUGGGAGUAGAAUGGGGUAGACCCAGAACCUGCUGGAGGGAUUAUAUAUCUUUUCUGGCCAGGGAAUGGUUCAGGAUCCCCCAGGAAGAGCUGGAAAGCAUUGUUAGGGGGAGGGAUGUUUGGGAUUACCUGCUUCUUUUGCUCCCUCCACCACCCGAUCCUGGGUAAGUGAAAGAAAACUCAUGGAUGGGUGAAUGGAUUAACUGCCUCUUCUUUGUAGAAAUUUGUUUGACGUGAUAGUCUUUUGACAGAUUCUUGACAAAAAAGCCAAAUUAUAUUGACCUUUAUUCACUGUGGAAAAGCAAUUAAAACAGAAAAACUUCAUAGGGGGUUGAAUACCUUUUACAGGCACUAUAUUCAACAGACAUCACCCUUUGCUCCUGCAUUGAUACACCAAACCCGCUAAUACAGCUAUUAUGACAGCACUUCAACAAAUUAUGUUUGUUUUGAUUUUUUUUUAGUUUUUCCAAAAAUUACAAGUACUGCUUCUACACUGAUAUAUUCAGACUGCUUUCUGUAUGUUGAAGUUUGCCGUGCUGAUAACUGCGCUGCAGUAUGUGCAUAAGUCAUAGACAUAGUAUGACAAUAAGUCGUACUAUGUGUAUGACUUAUUUAUCAACCAUACCGCAUUUUCCGUAAAUUUGCUGGAUUUUGUGGAAAAUUUAAUUUGUUUCUUUAACUUGCAUAAUAAGUCAGGUUGAAGGUGGGAGAGCUGCUGUGUGGUUGGUCCCAGGAUGACGACAGUGAGUCUCCUUUGAUUUCAAAGUGAUGAAGGCUAGGGUCUCUGUCAGGAGAACAAGAAGAAUUUACAUCUGCAAUGAAACAUACUUCCAUACUUUCUAUACUAUUAGGGUGUUCAUCACUGAACUUCAGAAAAGUAGAAACCUUUCAUUGCUCCCAAACUGAUCAGCAACUCAUUUAUUAAAAAGAAACACUAUCUACUAAAUCAGCAAUUGACUUUUUAAAUAAAAACAAAACAAAACAUGGUAUUUUAAAACUUUGAUUGGUUUAGGAAAUGUGGUUUUUUAAAUUUAUAAUUGAAAAUCUUAAAAUAUAAUAAACCUUAGCUGUGACCAAGUAAUAAUCUUCACAUGUGCUCCUCUGCUAUCUAAAGCAUGCAUAUAAGCGCCUGUUAAUUUACAUAGUGUUCAGUAACAUUCUGUGUUACCCACCUGGUAAAGAGGAGGUCAGUUUGAUAUUUCAGGGGGUGGAAGAUAUCAUUGAUGUUAUCAUCUGGGUAUCCCUCUUCUCCCUCACUAAUUAACACACAAAUGUGCACACAAAAAAUUACAAUGUAUUAUACAUUUUUUUAAAUUAUUUUGAGCCAAACUAUUCACAUUAUACAUGCUUCCCUUAGACAAUAUUAUUAGGAAGCACUGUAUUAAUUUCCAUUGUUACACUGACGACACUCAAUUGUAUUUAUCUAUGAAGCCAAAUGAAACUAAUCAGCUAGCUAGAAUGCAAGAUUGUCUUAAGGACAUAAAGACCUGGAUGACCUAUAAUUUCUUACUACUAAAUUCAGACAAGACUGAAGUCAUUGUAUUUGGCCCCAAACAUCUUAGAGAAUUGCUUUCAAAGCAUAUAGUUACUCUGGAUGGCAUUACAUUGGCCUCCAGUACUACUGUGAGGAACCUCGGCGUUAUCUUUGACCAGGACAUGUCCUUUAACUCACACAUAAAACAAAUCUGUAGGACUUCCUUUUUCCACCUGAGAAAUAUUGUGAAAAUCAGGAACAUCCUGUCUCAGAGUGAUGCAGAAAAACUAGUCCAUGCAUUUGUUACUUCUAGGCUUGACUACUGUAAUUCCUUAUUAUCAGGUUGUCCCAAUAGCUCUCUGAAAUAUCUACAGCUGAUCCAAAAUGCUGCAGCCAGAGUACUGACGGGAGUUAGCAAGAGAGAUCAUAUUUCUCCUAUACUGGUUUCUCUUCAUUGGCUUCCUGUUAAAUCUAGAAUAGAAUUCAAAAUCCUUCUUCUGACAUAUAAAGCUCUUAACAACCAAUCUCCAUCAUAUCUUAAAGACCUGAUAGUACCAUAUUAUCCUAGCAGAACUCUUCGCUCUCAGACUGCAGGCUUACUUGUUCCUAGAAUCUCUAAAAGUAGAAUGGGAGGCAGAGCCUUCAGUUAUCAGGCGCCUCUCCUGUGGAACCAGCUCCCAGUUUGGGUUCAGGAGGCGGACACCCUCUCUAUUUUUAAGACCAGGCUUAAAACCUUCCUUUUCGACAAAGCUUAUAGUUAGGGCUGACUGGGGGACCCUGACGGGGUGAGCUGGUGUUUUCAUUUGCACAACUGACUUCCCCUCUUGACGUCCCUUUAUUUUGCCCCUAGUUAUGCUGCUAUAGGCCUAGGCUGCUGGGGAAUCUCUCUUGAUGCACUGAGCCCUUCUCUAACUACCUAUGUAUUUACUAUAUAUACCAUUAUUGCAUUACACUCACUCUGUUUCUCCCUGUGUCCUUUCUCCGAGUGUCCCUGGUCCCAGAGCUGGAUGCUUCAGAUCUGUGGUUGUUCUCCCACCAACUGGCCUAAUCUCCAUCUGUGGGAUGCUGCUGCUGAACUUCCUCCAGCCCACUGCUUCCAGCUGCCCACUUUCACCAAUCUACUCUGCAUUGCCCUUACUAUGCUUGAUUUGCUCAUCUACAUACAUUUACCACAUGCUAUAUAUGUAGUAUAGUUAAUGUCAGAGCUGUACACCAUAGCAGUAAACUAUAAUCAGUUUCCAUGUUAGUUGUACUUUGCAUGUAUCAUCAGUCUUAUCAUGCAUGUAUCAAAUUGUGUUUUAUGUUCCUUGUCCCCCCCUUUACCUCUAUACCUCUACCUCUACCUCUACCUCUCUACCUCUUCUGUCCCUCUCAACCCACCCGGCCAGCAGGCAGAUGGGUCCCCUCACAUAAAGAGCCGGGUUCUGCUCGAGGUUUUUUUCCCUGUUAAAAGGGUGUUUUCCUUGCCACUGUCGCCUUUUGGCUUGCUCUGGGGGUCAGGCAUAUGCGUUCUGUAAAGCGUCUUGAGACAAUUUGACUGUAAUUGGCGCUCUAUAAAUAAAAUCGAAUUGAAUUGAAAUGCCAGGAACACUAAAAUGUAAUGAGUUUUGAGUGACUCAUUCCAUUUUAGGGUUUAGCACCAUUACAUUUUGUGGACACACCGUAACUGCUGUGACAAAUUCAUGAGCCUCCUUUCACAAUUUCAUCUGCCAACUUACACCUAACACUUAGCUCUAAACCUCAACCUGGUGCUAACCUUAUCCCAACAGGACUAAGAGUCUCCUGCCAUACUACCGGCCUAAUCUUAAAGUUGGAGAAGGGGUCUGUCUCCCAAACCUAAAUUGGGAGCUGAUUCCUCAACCGGCAUGUUGCUGGUUUAGAUGAAGCAACUACUGAUGUUAACUCAGAGAGAUAUAUAGCAGGUAAGUAGUCCAAAUAUAACCCUAAUCCCACAGACACCUCCAGGGACGCUGUACCUAACAACAUAGCUGUGAUUUUUUUUCCAACAGUCAAAAUUUUGUUGCAAAGGUCAUGAAGUCCUCACUACUGAGUUCUAAAGGACCAAAAGGCUCCACAGAGCUGUGACUCCUUGUCAACCUGGCUACAGUGCUGAAAGAAGCCUGGGAUGGUUCUUGUUUUUCUCUCUGAGCAAUGAAUAAUAAGCAGUGCUUGUUCUACAGAGAAUUUUUUAUGCAAAUAAACUGUACUUCCAAGAUAAGUGAAAUUUAUCUGAAUUUGUGGAAUGCUGCUGCCUUUCCAAUCUUCUUUAAAUCUAAUCUUCUUUCAGGGUUAGAGCAGAUGAGAAGCUGAUACACUCAAGCCUCCUUAGUUGUAGCUGCUCGGUGCGGACAAGCAAUCAAAUAUGGAGUGACUGAAGGAUUUGGAGAACAGAGAGAUGAAGUCUGAUUGGAGUUGUGUCUUUGGGACGGACAGAUGCAGUUGAUGUAAUUUCUGGAGCGACACCGAUUUCUUUGAAAUCCCUCAAGGGCUGAUGGAAAAGAGGUUCAUGCUGACCGCUCUGCACUCCUACGCUAGACACACACCAACCUGGGUUGCUUAUUAGCCUGCUAGUGUUCACCUCUGGCCCUGCUCCAGGACUGAUAUAGCCACUGCAGAUUCUGCACACCUCACCAGAUUCUGAUUCCCCGUAGCCAGCUAAGUAAUGUAGCCAUUCCACUGCUCCAGGUAUCCUGCGUAUUUCAAGUCUGUUGCCUCAGGGUAAUCAUUCCGCUGCAUUAGCAGGGCUCCAGACUAACAUUUACACUGGUAGCACUGGUUCUACCAAAUUUCUUAGUUGUGUCCACCAGUAAAUGAUUUGGUCAACCCACCCCACUCCCACCCCCUUAUUUUGGUUCAACAUUGCCACAGCUAUUAAUCCACCAUGCAUGCUAAUUAAAUGCUGUUUUUGUAUAACCUAGUUAUGGUGCAUUGACUUUCAAUGAUGCAAGAGUUGAUUUUGUAAAAGGUUUUAAUCUUAAAAUAUAUUCAUCUUGUCACCAGUCCUCUUCCGAUAUCAGUCAUAAACUUGGCACAGGCUAAACAUUUGCUGAACAUCUGCUUAUUGGUGAACAGCACAUUUUACCGAUGUUCCCUAAACGCCUCACAUGCUGGCUACAGUAGACACUGCCAGGCGGCUGCAGUGUAGCAGUUCUGACAAGUGUAUGGCCAAGCAUUUGUUGGAAAACAGUGAAAAGAGCAUUCUACACAGAUUUAGUGAGUGAUUUUUAGCAAUAUGUGCUGUUUUCUAUAAGCAAAGUUUUCUAUGAGCGGACUUUUCUACGAAUGAUUUGCAUUUGAAGUGUCAAUACCAGAGUCAGUCAUGUUUCUAUAGCCAAAACUGUGAUCGCUGUUAAAAUUUGAGCCAUCAAGACUGAAUGUGGGGCUACGUUUUCUUCUUAGCUGGCUCAGUGGAGAUCUCUCUGCCUGCACCACAACACUUUCAUCAGCAGGUGUAUCAGACCUCUCCCUCUGCUCCAGUCUCUUAAUGUUUCCUCACUGUGUUUUCAACAUAGUCAUCUGCUGAUCCUUUCAUCACUGAAACAUGUUAACAAUGAAACUGAGCGUUUUGCACGUCAGGCAUGGAGAGACUAAGAUAAUCUGGAAAUGAUAAAGCUAUUUCCAACCACAAUGACUUACACAGUAGCUACCUGCCGAAGGAAGGGCCACCAGAUCAGCCUGAUGAUCAUCAUUCACUCGCUCAAUGCUACCAUGUGAAAUUUCAGUGGGCACAUGUUCAAAUAAAGGUUGCAUAUGCGACCCUUUCAGUCGCAGUCUGGAGCCUGCUCAGUACCCUGCUUGUUACGCUGUUUAUCUGAGCCUCUUAUCAACCUGUGUAUAGUCAUUACUGCCUGUUAUAUCUGCUGACCUGAUCCUGUUGUCUAGCUUUGCAGCUAGCUUUGGUUAUUUGAAGUAGUCUAAGUUCAUACCUUUAUCUAUUUGUUUGUGAUUUAGUUCCCUUUAGAUUUCCACCUCUGUGUGUAUUAUUUAUUCUUCAAAUUGUCUCUAAUAAAUUCUUUUUACUGGA